rnacentral:misc_RNA from 1 species
AAGUCGUAACAAGGUUUCCGUAGGUGAACCUGCGGAAGGAUCAUUAACACGUGUAUUCAUCCACACGUAUCAACCAAAUCGCGAACUGUGUGUUUUUAAAACUACCUGUCUUAUUGUCGAAUGUUGAGUGAUGGGUGAGGGAAUGGUGUGAGACUUCGGUUUCUAACUCAUCUGUCUACGGUCCGUCUGAGGCCGAGCUCGCUCGAUGAUAGUACUCUUCUUUCUGGUUGCGGGCCUGCACCUUGGCUUGUGGCUGGAUUGUCACUUUUAUUUUACCAUUUAUUUACCCCUUUUUAUAUAUUUCUUACUGAUUUUUGUACAUUCCUGCGAAUUCCUGGCUUUUCUCUUUACUGAGAGAGGCUGGUUGAGUUUGCUUGGCAAUGUCGACACACAUUAACAUUAACACAACUCUUAGCAACGGAUAUCUUGGUUCUC